CGAGCAGCCUAGGCUGUGGCCACUGAGUCGGGAAGAACAUAGGUUGGCUUCUGUGGUGACUAUGUGGGAGUCCUGACCUCGCUUGCAGACUUGACCUCUGGAUAUAACAAGGAUCUAGAAGCAAAUUAUAAAGAAGAGGGAGGCACGACGGAGAGAGCAGCAAGCGUGCUAACAUUUCUGAAUACACUUAAGACUCUGCUGACUGCAUCUCUUGGAAAAGAAGCAGCAGGGCAAAGCAUGGCAGUGCUUAAAAGAACCACAAGCAGAAGUGGCAUUGAUGGGAUCAGAGAAACUUUCCUCACAAGUGUCUAAGUGAAAAGAAACUGAAGGAGACAAAACCAGAGACCAAUAUCCACCCAAUUUUCGCAGUAACUACAAGAGAACUGCAAAUGGUUUGCGUUGCUUACUAAGCAUACAUCUCAGCAAUGGUGAAGGCCGGCAGGCAGGUGCCUGGGUAACCUGGGACGCCUGUUCAUCCAAAUAAAGCUGGCUUUCACUUCUUAACCAAU
rnacentral:lncRNA from 1 species